CGUACGGGGGGCAGCAGUGGGGAAUAUUGGACAAUGGGGGGAACCCUGAUCCAGCCAUGCCGCGUGUGUGAAGAAGGCCCUCGGGUUGUAAAGCACUUUCAGUGAGGAAGAACGCCUGGUGGUUAAUACCCAUCAGGAAAGACAUCACUCACAGAAGAAGCACCGGCUAACUCCGUGCCAGCAGCCGCGGUAAUACGGAGGGUGCGAGCGUUAAUCGGAAUUACUGGGCGUAAAGCGCGCGUAGGUGGCUUGAUAAGCCGGUUGUGAAAGCCCCGGGCUCAACCUGGGAACGGCAUCCGGAACUGUCAAGCUAGAGUGCAGGAGAGGAAGGUAGAAUUCCCGGUGUAGCGGUGAAAUGCGUAGAGAUCGGGAGGAAUACCAGUGGCGAAGGCGGCCUUCUGGACUGACACUGACACUGAGGUGCGAAAGCGUGGGUAGCAAACAGGAUUAGAUACCCUAGUAGUC
rnacentral:rRNA from 1 species